CCUACGGGUGGCAGCAGUGGGGAAUAUUGCACAAUGGGGGAAACCCUGAUGCAGCGACGCCGCGUGAAGGAAGAAGUAUUUCGGUAUGUAAACUUCUAUCAGCAGGGAAGAAAAUGACGGUACCUGACUAAGAAGCCCCGGCUAACUACGUGCCAGCAGCCGCGGUAAUACGUAGGGGGCAAGCGUUAUCCGGAUUUACUGGGUGUAAAGGGAGCGUAGGCGGUAAUGCAAGGCAGAAGUGAAAGCCCGGGGCUCAAAUCCGGGACUGCUUUUGAAACUGUGUUACUAGAUUGAAGGAGAGGUAAGUGGAAGUCCUAGUGUAGCGGUGAAAGGCGUAGAUAGUAGGAGGAACACCAGUGGCGAAGGCGGCUUACUGGACUGUAAAUGACGCUGAGGCUCGAAAGCGUGGGGAGCAAACAGGAUUAGAUACCCUAGUAGUC
rnacentral:rRNA from 1 species